GGAUCAGCAGAGGAGACAAUGAUGCAGAAGAAAUGAAAAGAAGAGAAGAACUGAAGGUUGAUAUGUAGUUUUGGAGUGGACAGUGAAGCAGAGGGUGAAAUCUGUGGAAGACAAAUGUUAGUGGAGACUGAAGAGUGUUUGUUUCUCAACAACCGACAUGGAAGGAUUCUCAGACAAUGAGGAAGAUUGAAGUAUGCAAAAUUGGCACAAAACAAGCUAUUUCAUAUGACAAUGCCAUUGCCUGUAAUGAGUAAUGGAAAGCUGUAGACAGGCAGGAAACUUAACCCUUUGUCUUGGGCGUAGGGUGCAUUUUUGGUCACCUCA